AGCGAACGCUGGCGGCAUGCCUAACACAUGCAAGUCGAACGAACCUUUCGGGGUUAGUGGCGGACGGGUGAGUAACACGUGGGAACGUGCCUUUAGGUUCGGAAUAACUCAGGGAAACUGGUGCUAAUACCGAAUGUGCUCUUCGGGGGAAAGAUUUAUCGCCUUUAGAUCGGCCCGCGUCUGAUUAGCUAGUUGGUUGAGGUAAUGGCUCACCAAGGCGACGAUCAUUAGCUGGUCUGAGAGGAUGAUCAGCCACAUUGGGACUGAGACACGGCCCAAACUCCUACGGGAGGCAGCAGUGGGGAAUAUUGCGCAAUGGGCGAAAGCCUGAUGCAGCCAUGCCGCGUGAAUGAUGAAGGUCUUAGGAUUGUAAAGUUCUUUCACCGGGGACGAUAAUGACGGUACCCGGAGAAGAAGCCCCGGCUAACUCCGUG
rnacentral:rRNA from 1 species